rnacentral:lncRNA from 1 species
CUGUCUUUGAAACAUUGGAGAACAAAUCAUAGAGAUGAAAGGCCACGUGAGGACACAACAAGAUAUCAGUCACCUGCAAACCCCAAAGAGAGCCCCUACCAGAUCUGGACCGUGCUUACAUCCUGAUCUCAGACCUCCAGCUUCCUGAACUGUGAGAAAAUUAACAUGUGUUGUUUAAGCCACCCAGGCUAUGGUAUUUUGUUACGGCAGCCCAAGCUGAUCAAUACAGGGUGUGAGGUGGCUUCCUCUCUAUUUAAACUAAAAGAGAAUAAAGACAAUAGUUUACUUUGUAGUAUGUGGAAAGUAAGUUACACAUAAUGCAGCAUGUAGAGAAAGAAUGUUGGUCUAGAAUGAUGGUAUUGAGCUUCUAAUCUUGCUUCAGUCAUCUGUCUGUGUGAUCUUGUCUUGGGCAAGCUGUAAAAGAUGGAAGCCUGUGGGGCAUCUUAGUUUCCCAAUUUCCAAAAUAAAGAGAUUUCAGCAAAAUGUUUUUUCAAGGUCUUACUCCUUCUCCUUGAAGGUUCAUUUGAUUUCCAUAAUCAUUUUUUCUCUCCCUUGAUUAAACAAUGAAAAAUGAAACACUUGAGGACUAUCUAGGGUUGUGGAGGUGUGUACCUUUUAAAUUAUGCUGAACCUCAUCUGUCUGGGAUAAUACAUGCAAUUUACCUGGGCAGUAGACCUGCUAAUUUCUCUCUGGUGUUUCCUCAAGCCAUCAGGUUUUCUGGUACUUGAUCUUUAUUUUUAAUAGCUUAUAGAUAGAGAUAAUACAUUUUUUGAAUUCAAUAGACAGUUCUAGUGAUAUUAUUAAUCCAAAUAAAAGUAUGCUAAACCUUACUUUACACUUUGAGAAAACCUUUUGCUUAU